GUAGUCUGCAACCCGACUACACGAAGCUGGAAUCGCUAGUAAUCGCGGAUCAGAAUGCCGCGGUGAAUACGUUCCCGGGUCUUGUACACACCGCCCGUCACACCAUGGGAGUCAGUAACGCCCGAAGUCAGUGACCUAACCGAAAGGGAGGAGCUGCCGAAGGCGGGACGGAUGACUGGGGUGAAGUCGUAACAAGGUAGC
rnacentral:rRNA from 1 species